AUACACUUAUUUCUUAGUUCAAAUCAUUCACUGAUGCAAUAUAAACACACCUCUUAAUUUAUAAACCUAACAUUAUGAUUUGGAGUAAAAAAUGACAUUCACCUCGCACGCUUUCAUUACUCCGACUUGAUUUAAAACGGGCUUUUUGUCCAUCAUCGGUAGAAGGAUAUCCCAAAAUGAAUGUUUAGACACUCGUGAAGAGAGCUUUAGCAACUCUAUGACACAAAAUGGGUCUGCCGAUUCAUAUAUUGCAAAAAUAUCUGCUGUAAUAAGGAAUUUGAAAUGGCUAAGGAGUCCAAUACUACCAGAGCAGUUCGAAUAUUUCUGUUAAAAACUCUUCCUUUUCUAGAAGCCACAGAUAGAAGACACUGGAUCUCGCUGCUGUGUCCAUGUACCAGUUCCUAUGCUUGAAAUAUUCAACGAAUUAUCUUUAAAUGUAGUCAAAAUUAUAAAUCUCACUUCUUCUCUUUAAGUCGUUAACUCUUCUAAACGAUGAUUUGAUUCUGCUCCUCCAGUUUUUUAGUUCAAAUAUUGAAAUUCCCUACUAACCGUGAAUGGAUCUCGUCACUGUUGCAAACUUUAUUGCAAGCAAGGAUUCGAAUCUGCUCCCUUAAGAUGGAUGAUCAAGUUAAAAGUAUUUUUCUUCGAUUCCCUAUGUCUGGUAUUGGUUCUUUCUCUUCGAGAACAUAUCAGAAGAAUUUUCAUAUUUUCGUCUCAUCAUAAAUUGAUCUAAUUUUCGUCGUUGUUUGUUAAGUUGUAUCUGGAUUUCAAAACAACGAAGAACAACUGAUUGAAUGGUCUCAAAGGGAGUCAUAGCUUCAAAUGGUGUGCCAGGUGUUUCUGUAAUAUCAACUUCUUUGGAUACACACUUAAUUAUGCUCCAUAGAUUCCAACAUGUGGAUAUGGAAUUUAUUUAAGAUAAUUUUAAUUAUUUUUAGUGUAUUUGAAGUAUGAUAUGAUGAGGAUAGUUAUUAUUCAUAUUAACAAUUAGUAUUAAUAUAUUUUUGUUUAAAAUACCUCAUUAUAUUUUGUAUAUAUAUAGUUUACAAUAGUUGAAUCCAUUUGCAAUACGGUAAUUAAUAUUAAUAAAUUAUAUGAAGUAUCAUUUGUGAUUAUUAAUUCGUUUGAUUUUCAAUGGAUAACUUCUAUUACAAUUUCUAAUUAAUAUUUUUUGUAAUAGUUCAUCGUUAUUUUAGUUGUUUUUAUUUUACCCAUACUUUUGUAACUUAAUAUCUCAAAUAUACGUUAUAAUACUUUAA
rnacentral:lncRNA from 1 species